CUACGGGUGGCAGCAGUAGGGAAUCUUCCACAAUGGGCGAAAGCCUGAUGGAGCAACGCCGCGUGAGUGAAGAAGGUUUUCGGAUCGUAAAACUCUGUUGUAAGGGAAGAACAAGUACAGUAGUAACUGGCUGUACCUUGACGGUACCUUAUUAGAAAGCCACGGCUAACUACGUGCCAGCAGCCGCGGUAAUACGUAGGUGGCAAGCGUUGUCCGGAAUUAUUGGGCGUAAAGCGCGCGCAGGCGGUCCUUUAAGUCUGAUGUGAAAGCCCACGGCUUAACCGUGGAGGGUCAUUGGAAACUGGGGGACUUGAGUGCAGAAGAGGAAAGUGGAAUUCCAAGUGUAGCGGUGAAAUGCGUAGAGAUUUGGAGGAACACCAGUGGCGAAGGCGACUUUCUGGUCUGUAACUGACGCUGAGGCGCGAAAGCGUGGGGAGCAAACAGGAUUAGAUACCCGAGUAGUC
rnacentral:rRNA from 1 species